UGUAAUCAAUGAUGAUUUUUUUUCAUAAUUGCCGAUUGAACAGUGAUUAACAUAAAAAUAUCAUCAUCUUUCGACUGAGAUUGCA
rfam:Capsicum annuum cultivar Zunla-1 chromosome 4, whole genome shotgun sequence